UCGAGCGGAAACNANUUGUCUGAGCCUUCGGGGAACGAUAACGGNNNCNAGCGGNGGANGGGUGANUAAUGCCUAAGAAAUUGCCUUGAUGUGGGGGAUAACCNUUGGAAACGAUGGCUAAUACCGCAUAAUGCCUACGGGCCNNAGAGGGGGACCUUCNGGCCUCUCGCGNCNNGAUNUGCCUAGGGGGGAUUAGNUAGUUGGUGAGGUAAUGGCUCACCAAGGCGACGAUCCCUAGCUGGUCUGAGAGGAUGAUCANCCACACUGGAACUGANACNCGGUCCANACUCCUACGGGAGGCAGCAGUGGGGAAUAUUGCACAAUGGGCGCAAGCCUGAUGCAGCCAUGCCGCGUGUAUGAAGAAGGCCUUCNGGUUGUAAAGUACUUUCAGCAAUGAGGAAGGGGGUGUCGUUAAUAGCGGCAUUUCUUGACGUUAGCUGCAGAANAAGCACCGGCUAACUCCGUGCCAGCAGCCGCGGUAAUACGGAGGGUGCGAGCGUUAAUCGGAAUUACUGGGCGUAAAGCGCAUGCAGGUGGUUUGUUAAGUCAGAUGUGAAAGCCCGGGGCUCANCCUCGGAACUGCAUUUGAAACUGGCAAACUAGAGUACUGUAGAGGGGGGUAGAAUUUCAGGUGUAGCGGUGAAAUGCGUANAGAUCUGAAGGAAUACCAGUGGCGAANGCGGCCCCCUGGACAGAUACUGACACUCANAUGCGAAAGCGUGGGGAGCAAACANGAUUAGAUACCCUGGUAGUCCACGCCGUAAACNAUGUCUACUUGGAGGUUGUGGCCUUGAGCCGNNNNUUUCGNANCUAACGCGUUAAGUAGACCGNCUGGGGAG
rnacentral:rRNA from 1 species